UGGGGAAUUUUGGACAAUGGGCGCAAGCCUGAUCCAGCAAUGCCGCGUGCAGGAUGAAGGCCUUCGGGUUGUAAACUACUUUUGUACGGAACGAAAAGCCUCUCUCUAAUACAGGGGGGUGAUGACGGUACCGUAAGAAUAAGCACCGGCUAACUACGUGCCAGCAGCCGCGGUAAUACGUAGGGUGCAAGCGUUAAUCGGAAUUACUGGGCGUAAAGCGUGCGCAGGCGGUUUUGUAAGACAGUGGUGAAAUCCCCGGGCUCAACCUGGGAACUGCCAUUGUGACUGCAAGGCUGGAGUGCGGCAGAGGGGGGAUGGAAUUCCGCGUGUAGCAGUGAAAUGCGUAGAUAUGCGGAGGAACACCGAUGGCGAAGGCAAUCCCCUGGGCCUGCACUGACGCUCAUGCACGAAAGCGUGGGGAGCAAACAGGAUUAGAUACCCUGGUAGUCCACGCCCUAAACGAUGUCAACUGGUUGUUGGGGAUUUAUUUCUUCAGUAACGAAGCUAACGCGUGAAGUU
rnacentral:rRNA from 1 species